rnacentral:rRNA from 1 species
CCUACGGGAGGCAGCAGUAGGGAAUCUUCCACAAUGGGCGAAAGCCUGAAGGAGCAACGCCGCGUGGGUGAAGAAGGUCCUCGGAUCGUAAAACCCCGUUGAUAGAGAAGAAAGUGCGUGAGAGUAACUGUUCACGUAUCGACGGUAUCUAACCAGAACGCCACGGCUAACUACGUGCCAGCAGCCGAGGUAAUACGUAGGUGGCAAGCGUUAUCCGGAUUUAUUGGGCGUAAAGGGAGCGCAGGGGGUCUUUUAAGUCUGAUGUGAAAGCCUUCGGCUUAACCGGAGUAGUGCAUUGGAGACUGGGAGACUUGAGUGCAGAUGAGGAGAGUGGAACUCCAUGUGUAGCGGUGAAAUGCGUAGAUAUAUGGAAGAACACCAGUUGCGAAGGCAGCUCUCUGGUCUGUGACUGACGCUGAGGUUCGAAAGCGUGGGUAGCAAACAGGAUUAGAUACCCUAGUAGUC